AAGAUUAGUACAUGCUUGGAUAUGAUAAAAAUUAUAAAUUGAUUUGAACCUAACCCUAAAUUGGUUAGAAUAUUAAUCUUAGAUUAACAAAAAUAUAAACCCUCCUAUUAGAACUCAAAGCCAUAAAUCGAUCUAGAUCUAUUUGUAUCCUAGCUAAUUGUGGACACUAACAAGCCAUCACAGGGAAAAUAGAAUUCCUUCAUGAAGCUAUAAACUAACUAAAAUCUAACUCCUAGACCAUCCCAC
rnacentral:lncRNA from 1 species